GUUUAUUGUAAAGAUUCAGUCAGAUAGUGUGUUUGAAAAUUCUUUUAAACUGGUUGGAAGGAAGAAGAAACUUAAAAGUGACAAAGAUGCUGCCUUCAAUGGAAACUGGAGUCUGCUUCAGAUUAAGAUAAAGAGUGGAAGUACAUGGAACCCCACUCUUCUUAGACCCCUUGCCCCCAGCCAUGAGCACAUACAGAAGAAUUCAUACAAGUGGUUGCUGAAAACCUGUCAGGAUAUUCAUGGAUGAAAGUGAGAUCAUUAGAGGGAACAUUUCAAGAGGAAGGUUCGAUCUGUUCAUCUUUCUAUCUCCAGCACCUUGUACAUUUUAGGCACUUUAAUGGAUGCUUACUGAAUAAUAAAAGUGAAAAACCUCACAUGGUGUUUAUUCUGUUUCAAAUAAAGAAUCCUCUGCAAAUGGAUU